UCACGUUCAAACGACAUAAGUGUCACAUCCUGCAACAAUUCCAACAAUCGAAAAGAUAUUUAUUAAAAGUUAAUAAAACAAAUGAUUUCCAAUCAUUAAAAAAACAAAAUUGUCAAUGGAAAAACGAGUUGGACUACAAAAAACUUUAUUGUCAGGACUUACCAAAAAUUUUACAGUCUUGAGUGUAUCGAUGAAACGAAUCGAUCGAUCUUCAGAAUUUUGAGAUUCAGAACAAGUGGAUGCAGAAUUAUGUAUCAUUUUCUCGGAGGAAAGGUGUAUGUUCCAGAGCAGCUCCUGGAGGAGAUCGGGCAUUGCUGAGCGCAGUUCAAUUCAGUUGGCCAGUAGCAGAGGAUAAAAGAAGAGUUAUUAUUUUCAAGAAGGAUUAUGC